CCUACGGGAGGCUGCAGUGGGGAAUAUUGGACAAUGGGGGCAACCCUGAUCCAGCCAUGCCGCGUGUGUGAAGAAGGCCCUCGGGUUGUAAAGCACUUUCAGUGAGGAAGAACGCCUGGUGGUUAAUACCCAUCAGGAAAGACAUCACUCACAGAAGAAGCACCGGCUAACUCCGUGCCAGCAGCCGCGGUAAUACGGAGGGUGCGAGCGUUAAUCGGAAUUACUGGGCGUAAAGCGCGCGUAGGUGGCUUGAUAAGCCGGUUGUGAAAGCCCGGGGCUCAACCUGGGAACGGCAUCCGGAACUGUCAAGCUAGAGUGCAGGAGAGGAAGGUAGAAUUCCCGGUGUAGCGGUGAAAUGCGUAGAGAUCGGGAGGAAUACCAGUGGCGAAGGCGGCCUUCUGGACUGACACUGACACUGAGGUGCGAAAGCGUGGGUAGCAAACAGGAUUAGAUACCCGAGUAGUC
rnacentral:rRNA from 1 species